UAUGGUUGGGGGUCACCACAACAUGAGGAACUGCAUUAGGAAGGUUGAGAAUCACUGAGCUAGGCAUAAGUUGUGUUUCACUACGGGUGCAUCUACACUGUAAAAGUAUAUGCUGAUUGAUACCACUUUAACUGCCAUGGCUCAGUACUAUGGAAUCAUGGGAGUUAUCGUAUUUCAUUGUGUUUAGCUUUCUCUGUCAAAGGGUGCUAAUGCCUCACCAAACUACAAAUUCCAGAAUUCCAUGACAUUGAGCAACAACAGUUAAAGUAGUGUCAAAAGGCAUCAAUAUUGCCAGGGAGAUGCACCCCCAACCUGGCUCAACUAUCUUACAAGGGUGUUUUGAUGGGAAAAAGCCAUAUGCCACCAGAAGAUCACUGGAGGGAAGGAUAUUAGAGGCAAAGAUGAAGUACUUGGGCCAAAUAAUGAGAAGACAGGAAAGCAUGGGAAAGAUCAUGAUGCUGGGGAAAAAGGAAGGAAAAAGGAAGAGAGGCCGACCAAGGGCAAGAUGGAUGGUAUUCUUGAAGUGACUGGCUUGGCCUUGAAGGAGCUGGGGGUGGCAAUGGCCAACAGGAAGCUCUGGCGUGGGUUGAUCCAUGAAGUCACAGUCGGAAGCGACUGAACGAAUAAACAACAACAUGGCACAUUAUGUUUCUAUAGGACAAGAUAUUCUAGGAACCUUUACCUAGGUAAUAUGGCUACUAUUAAUACUACUGUAGCAUGAUAUUUAACUCCUGAAGUAUUGUUAAUUUAAAAAUAAUAACUCAUAGUUUGAUGCUUCCAUUACUACUAGAAUAACAUUAAAUGCGCUGCCAUUCCCAAUUUUACUUUAUUUAGAUUUAACCUUGUAGCAGGAAAAACAGACUAAACAGUUCAGCUUUUGCAACUUCAGAUUUAAAAGCAGUAGGAGUAAUAAAAAAGCUGUUGAGAGCUUUUUUUACAUGAAUCAAAGGCUAGAAGUCAACUUGGAAUUGUGGAAACGAUAGAAAUGGCAAGGAUAGCAUCUUACCCCCCCAAUAAGGGCUUGCUGCUGCCCAGAACUUGAAAAUGUUGCUCUUGUGCUAGCUGGACAGUUCUGGGAGUAGGAGUCCAAAACAGCUAACUUUUCCAUGCUCAGCUGAAAGUAGCAAGAGUUGGCUGGUCUGCAAGGGCAAAACUGAACAUGGCCAGCCCCAGGGAACUGCCUUGGGCCUCCUCCAGACUCAGUGGAUAUUUAGCAUUCAGCCCAACCUCAAAGCAGUUGAAAUAUUAACUGUAUGCCACAGGCCAGAUGCACAGUGCCCGGGGGUAUCAAGCACAGAACUCUCUCUUUAAAUGGCUGAGUAAAUCACUGCCCCAUUCAUGGUAUUAUUCUGAGCUUCCCUAUACACCCCUCAUCUAUAUGCGCCUAUGUGUCAAGGAAGGUCUAACCUCUCAUCACAUGUGGAAACUCCUUUUGUGCACUUCCUUUGGUUGUCAGUGAAGCCGCAAAAAUAAAAGAUGCAGAUCUCCAGGUCUUCAGAUCAGUUUGUUUCAGAACGGUAAUCCACAGAAUCAGAAUUUGGGCAGCAAAAGCAACUAGAGAUCUGGCUGGCAAAGGUGAGAUUAAGCAGUUGUUUUUCAGGAUUAUUGUUCCAUUGCCUCAAGAAUCACAGAACUGGUGCAGUCUUAUGGGAGAUAAAGACCUCAGCUGAUUGACUGAAGUGAUAUAGGCCAGCAGGAGGGAAAUCCCAAUAUACAGUCCUAUCCAGCAAAGUGUAAUAUCCUCGGGGUAUUUAGGACCCCUAUGGAAGCUCUGUUUAAAGUCUGACACUGGAUAAACAAUAGCUUUAUGUGUACAAAUGAGGCCCACAUUUGCAAAGCAGUGAAGGUCAUUUCUUCCUGCGAUUGCCUUAAUAAAACUGCAUAAAACCCAAGUGUUUAGCAAGAUACUUUACAAGGAACGUUGAUCUUGUAAAUGCCAUAUUAAACAUAUUUACUUUUACCUUUCUCUUGUAGUGAUAGAAAAUAAGCUGUUAUACGAGUGAGAUCAUAGAUUAAACUACCUGCAUGCUGGUAUGCUGGGAUCUAAAUUCAUGUACCAGUAUAUAGAUUGGUUUUCCCUACAUGCUUCACUAUCACUCCCCAUCUGUGAUUCCAGGGGUCACUUCCAAACAUGAAGAUGUAUAGAGGCUACCUUAUUUAUCUAUUUACUCAUAUCCAGACUUAUAUCACAAGAUCUCAGGGAAGCACAAAAUAAAAUCAAUUUGAAAGAAAUUAGAAAAAUGUAAAACAAGAAAUAAUGUAUAAGUCUAUAAGCAUAUUAAACAAUUUAAACCAUGUAAAAUGAACUAAAACAAAACCCUGUACAAAAAUCUAGACCCGAAGGCUUUGAUAAAAAGCCACGUUUUAACUUGAUGGCAGAAUGAAGCCAACAUUGGCAUGAAUUGGGCCUCCAAAGGAAGGGCACUGUACAAAUUGGGGCACCACUGCAAAAGGGACUUUCCCCAUAUCCUCCCACAGCCUGUAAUACCCACUAGCAGGGGCUCAAAGAUAUAGCAAGGAGGAAGAAGAAUGCUUUUGGACCGCGGGGCAGUAGGGUCUUCUCUAAAUAGAGGAUUUAUAGUCUAAAUUGACCUUGAAUCUUCAAUUAAGUCAGUGGUUCUCAACCUGUAGGUCCCCAGGUGUUUUGGCCUACCGGGGGGGGGGGGAUUGCCAUUACUUUCCUGUGGUUGAGAGAGUGUGACUUGCCAAGGUAAUCCAGUGGCCUACGAUACCCAAGCAGGAAUUCAAAUCCUAGUCCCCCAGAGUCCUAGCUCAGAUUUCAAAUCACUAUACCCUGCUGACUCUCUACAGGGCACAUUGUAGUUGUCUAAUUAGGAAAUUACAAGAAAAAACUGCAGUAGAUUGUCCCUUGUUCAGGGAAGACUGCAGUUAGUGGGCUAGUCAAACCUGGACACAGACCUCUGAGCCACAGGGUCCACUUGGGACCUCCAGUAACAAAGAAGGAUCCAGGAAUAUUCCCUAACAACACAUUUGCUUUCUCUGGGGAAAGCAAUCCCUUCCAGGACAAGCUUCUUAUGCAAUGUCUGGGAAUAACCGUUCCACAGAACCCCUGCCUUACUAGAAUUCAGCUUCAUGUUACCAGCCAGCCCAUUACAGCAGCCAGUCCUAGCUGAUUCCACAUAGAAGCAGAAGUAUAGCUAAGUAUGCUAGCAUACUGAUCACUCCCAACUUCUAAUGACACUAUUCUGCGGUUUGAUAUCAAUAUGAAGCAGUAUGGUGAAUUGAAUGGAACCGGCAAGCACCAUACAGCUUAUAUUUCUGGAACUGAACAAAAGU
rnacentral:lncRNA from 1 species